UCCCGGUAGAGCUGGACCAGUUCGUCGACGGCGGCGUCGUCGGGGGACGCCGCCACGGCGGAGAACUCGGCGGUGCCUUCCACCACCAGGAA
rnacentral:tRNA from 1 species